GGGUUGUGAGGUUAAGCGACUAAGCGUACACGGUGGAUGCCCUGGCAGUCAGAGGCGAUGAAGGACGUGCUAAUCUGCGAUAAGCGUCGGUAAGGUGAUAUGAACCGUUAUAACCGGCGAUUUCCGAAUGGGGAAACCCAGUGUGAUUCGUCACACUAUCAUUAACUGAA
rnacentral:rRNA from 2 species